ensembl:lncRNA
AUUUUAACCUGUUCCUCUGGAUUGCGCUAUGUUUGACUCUCACGUAACGAGUGCAUCUCUGCCGCUCCGUUACUCGGUAACGGAGAUGUUACGUCUACGGAUCUUCUCAAGGACCCCACCACCUCAGCUUGCAUCCCACCAGGACAUUCUCAAACGACCAAAAUACAUCCACCGAGGCUCUGGACGGAAUUUUCAGUACACUCACACCAGCAACAAAAACAUCCGCUCCUUCUGGUCCACUGGGCCCCGCCCCCUUCCUCGCACAGCCCGUACGGAUGCGGUACCUGGGAUACGAUCAAUCCCCACCUAUAUGGUGGUAUAGAUCGCAAAGUGGAGGGACGGAGACAGUCUUCAGCCGCAUCUGCCCUAUGCAGCCAUGUGUGUGCAUAAUGGAUGCACAUCAGGGCAACUAUAAAACAAAAGACCAUCUCCCAGACAGAGGAGCCCGGGCCAUACACACAGUGUGAGGUGCAGUGUUUGUUCUGUGGUCAAGCGAUUGACGUUGCCAGCAUCCAAGACACAUUGAUGACUGUGAAAUUUCACAUCAACCAUCAACCUCUGCUGCCCAGACCUCUGCCCAGUCCUCUGCUGCCCAGACCUCUGCUGCCCAGUCCUCUGCUGCCCUGACCUCUGCCUCGACCUCAGCUGCCUCGACCUCGUCCACUGGCAGAGUGUCAGAGAUUUUCAAUGAAGAAUGGAAGCUGGAGCCAGCUGCCAAAGCAGCAGCCAAAAUGUUUCAGACUCAUGUGGCCAAAGAUGCCGACCAGAAGCCAACCCUAAAGUUGACUUUGGACAUGCACGUCACAGAAGAGGACAGAGAAAGAU